GCUAAAAAAUGUUAAUCGGAAGAAGCAAAAGUGGAUGGCGUGGUGCCAGUAAGAUGGUAUCGGUAUGAUGUAGUCUCAAUUAAGUUAGUCGCAGAAAUGGUAACCAGCUAGAAGUCGUAACCUGCUCGUAUGAAAGGUGAAAUUGUUAAUUUUAUUCAGCAACGCCAAGAAAAAGAGCUCGCUCAA